rnacentral:lncRNA from 1 species
AUGGAAGCAUUUCAAAUGGUAUGGGUCAAUGAAAUGCAAAAACUAACUCUCUUGGCACAUUCAGCUGCUAUUAAAAAAUACCUUAGAUGGGUAGUUCAUAAGCAUAAACGUAUUUCUCACAGUUCUGGAGAGUGCGAAGUUCAAGACCAAGUAUCGGGAGAACCCACUCCCGAUGGUUACAUACAAGAAAGAUUGGAGACCUGUGUGCCUGGCAAUUGCCUUGUUGAAAGGAAGCCCUCAGCAAAAGUUGGUUGAUGGGAAUCGGCCAAAAAAAAAUGAUAUUUCCAACUCCUGGAUUUUGAUAUAGAAGAACUGUAAUGAAACUAUCC